rnacentral:sRNA from 1 species
AAUAAAGGUACAAAAGCCUUCAAAGGCCUU